UCACUUCGUCCCGUUAACUUGCGUAAAGCCGCAUAUCUGAAUAUAUUAUUUCAGAUUUUCGAAGCAAAUGAAGAUUGGUGGUUAUACGGUUUCUACUUUUCUACCGGAGGUCUUUCAGAAAAUAACAAAGAUUGCACACUUUUUCACAAAGAGCAACAAACAGACAAUCGGAUAACUUUGAAAGCCAUCGGCGGCAAGGGCAGUGAUCGGAUAGAAAGAGACAUCAUAGGAUAUUUCUAUCAAUGCAAGGACGAAUACAAUACUGAAGGGAACAAACGAAAGAAGCCGAAUUGUGUCAGACUACAACCACCAGACACAACGUUCGGGGAAAAAUUGAGAUUAAGUUAUACAGACAGGAAAGAGUGCGCUCUUUUGCGAGUCCUCGACGUUGGCGAAGGUACGUAC
rnacentral:lncRNA from 1 species